CAGCUGAUAUUCACCCGGAAGUAACAAAUCUUCUCUGGACAAACACUACAAAGUCCCGACCAGAUUAACUGAUCGCAUGGUGACAAUGAUAUGAUUGACGCGAGGUUCAGAUGAGGAAAUAAAGUCCGAUCACGCAUUCCGUUAUCCUCGCAAUCACAGAGAAGCCCCUGUCUGCAGCCUGCAGAUUUGGGCGGGUAUGCACCUGGGACGGUGCUGCACGUGCAGGCCCGCCCACACUGCUUCUCAUUGGUUAGUGGCGUGAAGUCAUGACGUCGAUUAUAGCAAGUUUUCAUUUCCGAUGUUUAUCGCUGCAUGGUGAGUACAAACUCCUGUUUUUGUUCUAUUUUAUUUACAAUUUUUAAUUUUGAAGUGGCGUUUAGUGUGAUGUUAAAAUAACUAGGACCGCGCGUGACGCACGCGCGUGCGGUUUGGUGAGAUUAUGAUUAAAACAAAGCAAAACUGAACCAAAAGAAGAAAUAUAGGAUUUAAGAGUUAAUAGUAACAACAACAAAGUUAUAUUCUAGGACUUUUUUCUAUGAAUACAUUUUUAAAUGUAAACUAUUUUGAUAUGUUAUUGAUAAGUAUACAUUUAUUUAUUGAUCAGGAAACUGAGCUUUCUGACAGUAGGGACCUUUGAUUUUACAGAGGUUAGUGAAAUAGCCUAUACAAUAGAAACCCCCCAUAUAAUUAAAAGUAAACUAACUCAGUAUUAAUUUUUAACUUAGCCUGUCAUACAUCAGGGUCUGCUGCUUUUGGAGAAUUCCCCCUUUGAUGUUUGUUUGUUUGUUUGUUUGUUUUCUUCUUUUUUUAUACAUACUGUUCAUUGAAGCUUCAAUUACCAAAUGCUUUCAUUUAGCAUUUUAAAAUAAAUGUUUUUAACUAUAGAUAAAUUCAUUUCAUGUAUCAAUCUAAACAAGUGGAUUUCAAUUAUGGUCCUAAGGGAUGUCAUUAAGAACAAACUGUUUUUAUGAGACUUUAUAUUUUAAACUUUUGAAGGUCAGAGAUGCUGAAAGAGCAACUCCAGUAAAAGAGGAGCGUAGAGAGCAGGUGUUGGUUCCCAUUUCAAAUCUUGAACCUAAAUAACAGGGAUUUAAAAAUGAUGCUACUCUUGUUCUUACUCUCCAAUUUAGAGGUGAUGAAAUCCCCCGGCCUGUGGAUUAUUUGACCAAGAUCCUGAUGGGAGUCGCUACAAAUAGGACAAUAUGGCUUUAUGGUGACUUUCACUGACAUGCAAGGUUUUCAGAGACGUUUUCAGCAAGCCCAAGUUCAGAGAAAAGGUCCCCUUUGUAUGUCCAAACAGUGUUGUGAACUGGAGUGCAUUUUCCAGACAAUAUGGGCAAGAGCUCCGGGUGCCUUACUCGUUGACUUUGAAAUAUACAAGGACUGCCCACCUGGAUAUGUAGGUGAUGGCAGAAGGGGAGUCCUGAAUGGGUUUUAUUCCGACAAGGAGGUUCAGUGCUAUUGCUCAUUUGAUUGUUUUUUUCAAUGAUGGAGGGGAACUUCAGGCUGUGUAGAUUGUGUGUGUACGGUUAAUGUACGUGAUUAUCUGUAUGUGUGUAUUAUGUCUUUUAAACAAUUAUUUUUGUUUUGAAAUAAAAGUUAUCACUGGUAUGGGUUUGGUGUUUUUGAGUGGCAUGCAUACUAUGGGAUACAGAGAUUGACAAUGUACUGUAUGUAGU